rnacentral:rRNA from 1 species
AGAACGAACGCUGGCGGCAGGCUUAACACAUGCAAGUCGAGCGCCCCGCAAGGGGAGCGGCAGACGGGUGAGUAACGCGUGGGGAUAUGCCCAAAGGUGCGGAAUAACUCAGGGAAACUUGAGCUAAUACCGCAUGUGCCCGAAAGGGGAAAGAUUUAUCGCCUUUGGAUUAACCCGCGUCAGAUUAGCUAGUUGGUGAGGUAAUGGCUCACCAAGGCGACGAUCUGUAGCUGGUCUGAGAGGAUGACCAGCCACACUGGGACUGAGACACGGCCCAGACUCCUACGGGAGGCAGCAGUGGGGAAUAUUGGACAAUGGGCGCAAGCCUGAUCCAGCCAUGCCGCGUGAGUGAUGAAGGCCUUAGGGUUGUAAAGCUCUUUCGACGGGGACGAUAAUGACGGUACCCGUAGAAGAAGCCCCGGCUAACUUCGUGCCAGCAGCCGC